AACGAACGCUGGCGGCAUGCCUAACACAUGCAAGUCGAACGAGGCCGUCGGGUCUUGUGGCGCUCGGUUACGUAACGAGGGGGAACCUGCGCUUAGGUUCGGAAUCACUCCCCGAGAGGGGUGCUAAUACCGGAUUAUGUAUUAGGACAAAAGAUUUAUCGCCUAUGGAUGGGCCCGCGUUGGAUUCGAGAGUUGGUAGAGUAAAAGCCUACCAAGGCGACGAUCCAUAGCUGGUCUGAGAGGAUGACCAGCGACACUGGGACUGAGACACGGCCCAGACUCCUACGGAAGGCAGCAAGGGUGAAUAUUGGACGAUGGGCGAGAGCAUGAGCCAGCAAGGCCGCGUAAGUGAUUAGUGCCUGAGGGUUGUAAAGCUCUUUUACCCGCGAUGAUAAUGACAGUACCGUGAGAAUAAGCGCCGGCUAACUCCGUG
rnacentral:rRNA from 1 species